rnacentral:rRNA from 2 species
GAGAUAAAAGGUGCCUGUACCGCAAACCGACACAGGUAGGCGAGGAGAGAAUCCUAAGGUGUGCGAGAGAACUCUGGUUAAGGAACUCGGCAAAAUGACCCCGUAACUUCGGGAGAAGGGGUGCUUUCUUAACGGAAAGCCGCAGUGAAUAGGCCCAAGCGACUGUUUAGCAAAAACACAGCUCUCUGCGAAGCCGUAAGGCGAAGUAUAGGGGGUGACACCUGCCCGGUGCUGGAAGGUUAAGGAGAGGGGUUAGCGUAAGCGAAGCUCUGAACUGAAGCCCCAGUAAACGGCGGCCGUAACUAUAACGGUCCUAAGGUAGCGAAAUUCCUUGUCGGGUAAGUUCCGACCCGCACGAAAGGUGUAACGAUUUGGGCACUGUCUCAACCAGAGACUCGGUGAAAUUAUAGUACCUGUGAAGAUGCAGGUUACCCGCGACAGGACGGAAAGACCCCGUGGAGCUUUACUGUAGCCUGAUAUUGAAUUUUGGUACAGUUUGUACAGGAUAGGCGGGAGCCUUUGAAACCGGAGCGCUAGCUUCGGUGGAGGCGCUGGUGGGAUACCGCCCUGACUGUAUUGAAAUUCUAACCUACGGGUCUUAUCGACCCGGGAGACAGUGUCAGGUGGGCAGUUUGACUGGGGCGGUCGCCUCCUAAAGUGUAACGGAGGCGCCCAAAGGUUCCCUCAGAAUGGUUGGAAAUCAUUCGUAGAGUGCAAAGGCAUAAGGGAGCUUGACUGCGAGACCUACAAGUCGAGCAGGGACGAAAGUCGGGCUUAGUGAUCCGGUGGUUCCGCAUGGAAGGGCCAUCGCUCAACGGAUAAAAGCUACCCCGGGGAUAACAGGCUUAUCUCCCCCAAGAGUCCACAUCGACGGGGAGGUUUGGCACCUCGAUGUCGGCUCAUCGCAUCCUGGGGCUGUAGUCGGUCCCAAGGGUUGGGCUGUUCGCCCAUUAAAGCGGUACGCGAGCUGGGUUCAGAACGUCGUGAGACAGUUCGGUCCCUAUCCGUCGUGGGCGUAGGAAAUUUGAGAGGAGCUGUCCUUAGUACGAGAGGACCGGGAUGGACGCACCGCUGGUGUACCAGUUGUUCUGCCAAGGGCAUAGCUGGGUAGCUAUGUGCGGAAGGGAUAAGUGCUGAAAGCAUCUAAGCAUGAAGCCCCCCUCAAGAUGAGAUUUCCCAUAGCGUAAGCUAGUAAGAUCCCUGAAAGAUGAUCAGGUUGAUAGGUUCGAGGUGGAAGCAUGGUGACAUGUGGAGCUGACGAAUACUAAUAGAUCGAGGACUUAACCAUAUAA